AGUCCCAGCAUCAUAUGCUGGCUGUCCGGGUGGUGUAAAAAUACACCCGUUAGCAGGGCGGGCAGACCGUGCAGCCGCCGCGGUAACACGGCGGCCCGAGUGGUGAUCGUGAUUAUUGGGUCUAAAGGGUCCGUAGCCGGGUUUGGUCAGUCCUCCCGGGAAAUCUGAUAGCUCAACUAUUAGGCUUUCGGGGGAUACUGCCAGGCUUGGAACCCGGGAGAGGUAAGAGGUACUACAGGGGUAGGAGUGAAAUCUUGUAAUCCCUGUGGGACCACCUGUGGCGAAGGCGUCUUACCAGAACGGGUUCGACGGUGAGGGACGAAAGCUGGGGGCACGAACCGGAUUAGAUACCCGGGUAGUCCCAGCCGUAAACGAUGCUCGCUAGGUGUCAGGCAUGGCGCGACCGUGUCUGGUGCCGCAGGGAAGCCGUGAAGCGAGCCACCUGGGAAGUACGGCCGCAAGGCUGAAACUUAAAGGAAUUGGCGGGGGAGCACAACAACGGGUGGAGCCUGCGGUUUAAUUGGACUCAACGCCGGACAACUCACCGGGGGCGACAGCAAUAUGUAGGCCAAGCUGAAGACUUUGCCUGAAUCGCUGAGAGGAGGUGCAUGGCCGUCGCCAGUUCGUACUGUGAAGCAUCCUGUUAAGUCAGGCAACGAGCGAGACCCGUGCCCACUGUUACCAGCAUAUCCUCCGGGAUGAUGGGUACUCUGUGGGGACCGCCGGUGUUAAAUCGGAGGAAGGUGCGGGCCACGGUAGGUCAGUAUGCCCCGAAUCCCCCGGGCUACACGCGGGCUACAAUGGAUGGGACAAUGGGUCCCUCCCCCGAAAGGGGCUGGCAAUCUCAUAAACCCAUCCUUAGUUCGGAUCGAGGGCUGUAACUCGCCCUCGUGAAGCUGGAAUCCGUAGUAAUCGCGUUUCAAUAUAGCGCGGUGAAUACGUCCCUGCUCCUUGCACACACCG
rnacentral:rRNA from 1 species